UAAGCGGAGGAAAAGAAACUAACAAGGAUUCCCCUAGUAACGGCGAGUGAACCGGGAAAAGCUCAAAUUUGAAAUCUGGCUGUCUUCGAUAGUCCGAGUUGUAAUCUAUAGAAGCGUUUUCCGUGCUGAACUGUGUCUAAGUCCCUUGGAACAGGGUAUCAAAGAGGGUGAUAAUCCCGUACUUGACACAACAAUCAGUGCUCUGUGAUACGUUCUCUACGAGUCGAGUUGUUUGGGAAUGCAGCUCAAAAUGGGUGGUAAAUUCCAUCUAAAGCUAAAUAUUGGCGAGAGACCGAUAGCGAACAAGUACCGUGAGGGAAAGAUGAAAAGCACUUUGGAAAGAGAGUUAAACAGUACGUGAAAUUGUUGAAAGGGAAACGAUUGAAGUCAGUCGUGUUCAUUGGAUUCAGCUAGUUCUUCUAGUCUACUUCCUUUGAACGGGUCAACAUCAGUUUUGUCCGGUGGAUAAAGGAUUUAGGAAUGUAACUCCCUCGGGAGUGUUAUAGCCUAGGUUCACAUACACUGGGUGAGACUGAGGACUGCAGCUCGCCUUUUGGCCGGGGUUCGCCCACGUUCGAGCUUAGGAUGUUGACAUAAUGGCUUUAAACGACCCGUCUUGAAACACG
rnacentral:rRNA from 1 species